UUGCCAUUGAUAUUUCAAUUAAAAACAAAUUGUAUUACUGGAUUAUUCUUAUCUAUGCUGACUCUAUGUUCUGAAUACCGGAGGAUUUCCUAAAGUCAAGAUUUGAAAUGCAGGGUUUAUUAACAUUAUAAUUAAAGGUACAAUAAGAAACGAUUUUUAGACUAGAAUUUAGUGAUCUUUGAAAUGUAGCAAUCAAAAUUGAAGACUGUAAAAGAUAAACAUAUUCGAGCUUCAAACCUAAAAUAUUCCGGAUGAAAAAUGAAGAAACAAAUUGGCUUUUGUAUGACAGGCUAAAAUCUACUUCAUCUUUUCAUACAUGCUGAUCAAGCUGGUAUAUUUAACCUCCUCCUUCGGCCAAAAGUAACAUGCAAACAUCCAUAAAUUCUUCCUAACAGUAGCUUUUUCUUCGGAGGGUGUAUCAUUGACAGUUUUUUCAAUAUGCUUUCCAAUCGUUGUCAAACACUCAGUAAGUAACUUCACCAACUCCGCGCGUCCAAGCCCACUAGAAUCUUUCCGAAGUCUUUUCAUAUGCUUACGGACUGGAUACAUCAGUUCUUUGCAGCGUGCCUUUUGUUCAGCAUUUAGACUUACAUUACCAUCGUCUUUUUCAGAUUUGACGGGUGAAGCUGUCUGGCUGCGAGACUGUUCCCUACUAGGUGUUUCAAUCUUCGUGUCUUUAGAAGAAGGUUUCUUACGAGAUUCUGAAAUUGCAGGCGAUGGUGUCCUAGUUGCACUCUCUAUUUUUUGCGCAGAUUUAACGUUAGGCUUGCCACUUUGUCUGCGAUUAGCCGUCUGCUUCUUAGGUUGAGUUUUUCCAUUAGUACUAAUAGCGGGGCUUGAUUUUAUGCCAAAAUUUUGGUGAUGCUCACGUAAAGCACUAAGUAGGUAUUCACCUCGACGAACCAAAUGCACAGCUGAAGGUACCUUUUUCUCUUUAUUUUCUUUAUCUUUGGGGACAGAGUUGUCUGUUUGUUUUGUGUCUUCUAAAAAGAUCUUGUCUUUCAUUUUGAGUUCUGGAUCAUCUCGAAUUUCUAACCAAGCUCCAAAUCCAUGCUUACAAAUUCCAGAAAGCAACAUGGAAUCUUCUCGGGGUCCCCACUGACAGGACCAGCCGUGAACAGAUCUAACGUGCAUUGGAAUUUGGAAGUUAGAAUAUCCUGACGUUGGCAUAGCAUCAUAAAGAAUAUCAAGAUCAUUUAGCCUUUGUACCAAUGUUUCAGCAUUUAUAUUUUUUACACCUUUAAAUGUAAUGAGCAGCGCUUUACGAGAUGACUUAUUAUUAGACUGAUCAUUAGAUAAGUCCUUCUCGGCUGCUGAUACAGCCUUGCGUGAAGCGGUUACUAAGUCAGCUGCAAUCUUUUUUAUUACGUGAGCAUCUUGCGUAGUAAGAUCAGCAUAUUUAACAAUGUCAUUGUAGCGAUGCUCAAGGCUUCCAUAUCUAAUCAUAGCACGAUAAAGCAACCGAAUUUCCUUUUCCAGUAAAACCUCAUCUUUAAGCAUUUGCUUUUUGCUCUUCCUUUCAGAAGUUCCAGAGUAGGAUGGGGAUUCCACCGCAGAGCUAGGAUAAGGACGAUUACCUCGUCUACUACUAAGCUCAAUUUCUUGCUUAAGCGCUUCUUCCUCUUCUCUUAAGCGGUCUUCCUCUUCAAACUUCUCACGUUCAGUUAGGGGUAUAAUAUCAUCCCAAGAUACAUCUGCCUUAUAGUCUGUAACUUCGAACUGUUUCAAAAACUCUUCACCACCCAUGCUGGCUCCACCCACAUCAUUGGAAGUAUCAUGAUCUUCGGCAUGUUCCAAAAUUUCAUCUAAAUUCAUAUCCUCAAGCUUCUUUUGAUUAUUCUCUGCUUUAAACAUAUUAGAAGCUCCAAAUUUCAAAAUAGCGCUAAGCUCUUCAGCAGAAAAUUUAUCAUUUUUGGAAUUCUUUUGCUUGUCUGUAACACCUAAUGAAAUAAUUGCAUAUUCAAGAAUCAUUUUACGACGUGCACGUUCCAAGACAUCUUCUUCAAUCGUAUCUUUGGAAAGAAGCCUGUAUACCAUAACAUGAUUUUUCUGACCAAUGCGAUGCGCACGUGCCAUAGCUUGUAAAUCAGCUUGAGGGUUCCAAUCGGAAUCAAAAAUAAUAACUGUAUCAGCAGUCAUUAAAUUAAUACCUAAUCCUCCAGCUCGUGUGGAUAAUAAAAACACAAAAUCUGGGCUGUUUGGUGCAUUAAAAUGAUCUAUUGAAGUUCUUCGUACAGCAGCAGGGACAGUGCCAUCCAGUCUCUGAUGUGGAUAUCCCCUCAAAGAAAGAUAAUCACCAAGAAUGUCAAGCAUACGAACCAUUUGACUAAAAAUUAAAACGCGGUGGCCGUCUCGACGAAGACGUGAUAGAAGUUUGUCAAGUAACACCAUUUUCCCGCUGUUCAUAAUUAAACCUUUUAAGACUUCAUCUCGUCUUCCUUGAGAGUUUAUUUUUUGCAUCCAUGACUCUUCUACUCCGUCAAAUAAGUAAGGAUGAUUACUUGCCUUUUUCAACUCCACAACUAUGUUUAGUAAAGAUAUUUGAC
rnacentral:lncRNA from 1 species